UUCAAGUCCUGCCCCUCCUG
rnacentral:tRNA from 1 species